AUUGAACGCUGGCGGCAGGCUUAACACAUGCAAGUCGAGCGGAGCGAGGGUGCUUGCACCUUAGCUUAGCGGCGGACGGGUGAGUAAUGCUUAGGAAUCUGCCUAUUAGUGGGGGACAACAUUCCGAAAGGAAUGCUAAUACCGCAUACGCCCUACGGGGGAAAGCAGGGGAUCUUCGGACCUUGCGCUAAUAGAUGAGCCUAAGUCGGAUUAGCUAGUUGGUGGGGUAAAGGCCUACCAAGGCGACGAUCUGUAGCGGGUCUGAGAGGAUGAUCCGCCACACUGGGACUGAGACACGGCCCAGACUCCUGCGGGAGGCAGCAGUGGGGAAUAUUGGACAAUGGGCGGAAGCCUGAUCCAGCCAUGCCGCGUGUGUGAAGAAGGCCUUUUGGUUGUAAAGCACUUUAAGCGAGGAGGAGGCUACUUAGAUUAAUACUCUGGGAUAGUGGACGUUACUCGCAGAAUAAGCACUGGCUAACUCUGUGCCAGCCGCCGCGGUAACAC
rnacentral:rRNA from 1 species